GGCAGUUCUCGGGUGACACAUCCCAGAAUUGGGCUCCCUCCUCUCUGGUUCCGGGUGCGAAACCAGAGAACCACA
rfam:Myotis brandtii contig306260, whole genome shotgun sequence.